rnacentral:rRNA from 1 species
UACGAAGGGUGCAAGCGUUAAUCGGAAUUAUUGGGCGUAAAGGGCUCGUAGGCGGUUUGUCGCGUCGGGAGUGAAAACCUCGGGCUUAACUCGGGGCUUGCUUUCGAUACGGGCAGACUAGAGGUAUGCAGGGGAGAACGGAAUUCCUGGUGUAGCGGUGAAAUGCGCAGAUAUCAGGAGGAACACCGGUGGCGAAGGCGGUUCUCUGGGCAUGACCUGACGCUGAGGAGCGAAAGUGUGGGGAGCGAACAGG